rnacentral:rRNA from 1 species
UACAGAGGUGGCAAGCGUUGUUCGGAAUUACUGGGCGUAAAGGGCGCGUAGGCGGUCUUGUCAGUCCCUUGUGAAAUCCCCCGGCUCAACUGGGGAACUGCAAGGGAAACAGCAGGGCUUGAGUUCGGGAGAGGGAAGCGGAAUUCCGGGUGUAGCGGUGAAAUGCGUAGAUAUCAAGAGGAACACCUGCGGCGAAGGCGGGUUGCUGGGCCGACACUGACGCUGAGGCGCGAAAGCUAGGGGAGCGAACGGG